GAUGAACGCUGGCGGCGUGCCUAAUACAUGCAAGUCGAGCGAAUCUCUUCGGAGAUUAGCGGCGGACGGGUGAGUAACACGUAGGCAACCUGCCUGUAAGACUGGGAUAACUUCGGGAAACCGGAGCUAAUACCGGAUAGGUUUUCGUAUUGCAUGAUACGAAAUGGAAAGGCGGCUUUUAGCUGUCACUUACAGAUGGGCCUGCGGCGCAUUAGCUAGUUGGUGAGGUAACGGCUCACCAAGGCGACGAUGCGUAGCCGACCUGAGAGGGUGAUCGGCCACACUGGGACUGAGAAACGGCCCAGACUCCUACGGGAGGCAGCAGUAGGGAAUCUUCCGCAAUGGACGAAAGUCUGACGGAGCAACGCCGCGUGAGCGAUGAAGGCCUUCGGGUCGUAAAGCUCUGUUGUUAGGGAAGAGCAAGUACGAGAGUAACUGCUCGUACCUUGACGGUACCUAACCAGAAAGCCACGGCUAACUACGUGCCAGCCGCCGCGGUAAAAC
rnacentral:rRNA from 1 species